ACCGUGUCUCAGGUCCAGUUUUCCCAGGAAUACAUAGGUGCUGAGAUGGGGAUUCCUGGAAAUACUGUUCUUGAGGUCAUGGC
rnacentral:pre_miRNA from 1 species